GUUGUUGAUAGGAGAUGUAUUGGCGCUGUGAAUUGAAAGAGAAAGGGAUAGCGAGAGAAAGUAGAAUAGGUUUGUUUGCUGGGUAAAUGGGUCUGCGUGUUAACCGAAUCUGUUGGUUUCGAUGAAACACGCUGUGAUGACAGCAAGACUUUAGGAGAAGCUGGGUUUCAGGUGCGAGUCUUUGUCCAAAGAAGAGAAGAACGAUGUCGGUGGUUUGAAGUGACUCCCGCAAAACAAG
rnacentral:misc_RNA from 1 species